UACGAAGGGGGCUAGCGUUGCUCGGAAUUACUGGGCGUAAAGGGCGCGUAGGCGGAUACUUAAGUCGGGGGUGAAAGCCCGGGGCUCAACCUCGGAAUUGCCUUCGAUACUGGGUAUCUUGAGUUCGGGAGAGGUGAGUGGAAUGCCGAGUGUAGAGGUGAAAUUCGUAGAUAUUCGGCGGAACACCAGUGGCGAAGGCGACUCACUGGCCCGAUACUGACGCUGAGGAGCGAAAGCGUGGGGAGCGAACAGG
rnacentral:rRNA from 1 species